AUUGAACGCUGGCGGCAUGCUUUACACAUGCAAGUCGAACGGCAGCGCGGGCUUCGGCCUGGCGGCGAGUGGCGAACGGGUGAGUAAUACAUCGGAACGUGCCCAGUAGUGGGGGAUAGCUCGGCGAAAGCCGGAUUAAUACCGCAUACGACCUGAGGGUGAAAGCGGGGGAUCUUCGGACCUCGCGCUAUUGGAGCGGCCGAUGGCAGAUUAGCUAGUUGGUGGGGUAAAGGCCUACCAAGGCGACGAUCUGUAGCUGGUCUGAGAGGACGACCAGCCACACUGGGACUGAGACACGGCCCAGACUCCUACGGGAGGCAGCAGUGGGGAAUUUUGGACAAUGGGCGAAAGCCUGAUCCAGCAAUGCCGCGUGUGUGAUGAAGGCCUUCGGGUUGUAAAGCGCUUUUGGCGGGAACGAAAAGGACUGUGCCAAUACCACGGUUCGAUGACGGUACCCGCAGAAUAAGCACCGGCUAACUACGUG
rnacentral:rRNA from 1 species